AAUCGUAUAUUCAUCGAGAUGUUCAUGCUGAUGUGUUGAAGACGUUUUGUCGGUUUUGAGCGUAUUUACUCAACUAUUUUGGUACUUCUAAAUAUCAUGAACAACAACGGGCUCCCAUAAGGAAAUUUCAAGGCAAUUGGUUGUGGUAUUAUCUCAGAAAUAUCUUGAGAAGCCAAAUGACGUAUUCUACUUUACUGCGAUCUCUUCAGCAAGCUGUGGUCAAAGAGAAUAUCAUUGCAAUGAUAGGUAAAGGCAGAAUUUGGAAGUGAAAUGUCAAAUGUGCAAGAACUAUUAGUCCAUGGUAUGGUUGGC
rnacentral:lncRNA from 1 species